UGAAGGCGAUUAGUUUAAGAGAUUAAUUGAUUGACGAUAAUCACAGAAGAAGCACCGGCUAACUCCGUGCCAGCAGCCGCGGUAAUACGGAGGGUGCGAGCGUUAAUCGGAAUGACUGGGCGUAAAGGGCACGCAGGUGGUGACUUAAGUGAGGUGUGAAAUCCCCGGGCUUAACCUGGGAACAGCAUUUCAGACUGGGUGACUAGAGUACUUUAGGGAGGGGUAGAAUUCCACGUGUAGCGGUGAAAUGCGUAGAGAUGUGGAGGAAUACCGAAGGCGAAGGCAGCCCCUUGGGAAGAUACUGACGCUCGAGUGCGAAAGCGUGGGGAGCAAACAGGAUUAGAUACCCUGGUAGUCCACGCUGUAAACGAUGUCGAUUUGGGGAUUGGGUGAACACUUGGUGCCCGA
rnacentral:rRNA from 1 species